AAGUCGUAACAAGGUCUCCGUUGGUGAACCAGCGGAGGGAUCAUUACUGAGUUGUAAAACUCCAAACCCACUGUGAACCUUACCUAAAUUAUAAAUGCUUCGGCGGGCAGCUCCAGGGCGGAGCUGUAGCCUGCAAAGGCGCCCGCCGGAGGUACCAAACCCUUCUAUAUUUUAGCGCUAUUCUGAGUCAAAAUAUAAUAAGUCAAAACUUUCAGCAACGGAUCUCUUGGUUCUGGCAUCGAUGAAGAACGCAGCGAAAUGCGAUAAGUAAUGUGAAUUGCAGAAUUCAGUGAAUCAUCGAAUCUUUGAACGCACAUUGCGCCCGCUAGUACUCUGGCGGGCAUGCCUGUUCGAGCGUCAUUUCAACCCUCAAGCCCUGCUUGGUGAUGGGGCCCUACUAGUCUUGUAGGCCCUGAAAUCUAGUGGCGGCCUCGCUAUAAUCCCGAGCGCAGUAAAAUGCCUCGCUUAGGGUGUUAUAGUGGGAGCCCGCCGUAAAACCCCCCAUAUUUUACCAAGGUUGACCUCGGAUCAGGUAGGAAUACCCGCUGAACUUAAGCAUAUCAAUAAGCGGAGGAAAAGAAACCAACAGGGAUUGCCCUAGUAACGGCGAGUGAAGCGGCAACAGCUCAAAUUUGAAAUCUGGCCUUCAGGUCCGAGUUGUAAUUUGUAGAGGAUGCUUUUGGCGCGGUACCUUCUGAGUUCCCUGGAACGGGACGCCACAGAGGGUGAGAGCCCCGUAUAGUUGGACGCCAAGCCUGUGUAAAGCUCCUUCGACGAGUCGAGUAGUUUGGGAAUGCUGCUCAAAAUGGGAGGUAAAUUUCUUCUAAAGCUAAAUAUUGGCCAGAGACCGAUAGCGCACAAGUAGAGUGAUCGAAAGAUGAAAAGCACUUUGAAAAGAGGGUUAAAUAGCACGUGAAAUUGCUGAAAGGGAAGCGCUUAUGACCAGACUUGGGCCUGUUGAAUCCCCUGGCGUUCUCGCUGGGGCACUUCAUCUGGCACAGGCCAGCAUCGGUUUUCCUAGGGGGAUAAAAGCUUCAGGAACGUGGCUCUUCGGAGUGUUAUAGCCUGUUGUAUAAUACCCUUGGGGGGACCGAGGUCCGCACUUUUGUUUGGAUGCUGGCGUAAUGGUCAUUAGCGACC
rnacentral:rRNA from 1 species